CACAGACACAGCUCAGGUCUGGUGUGCUGUGGUGCAGGCCAGCGCCUACAGCUUUGAAUCAACCCCUAACCUGGGAACCUCCAUAUGCCUUGGGUAUGGCCCUAAAAAGACAAGAAAAGAAAAGACAGGAAAAAAAGAAAAAAAAUCAGUUUUUCCCUUUGGAGCUACUGACUACAUCCCAGCCUAGAGGCAGAAGAAUGGGCUGCCACUUCUGGGGCCACCUUCUUUUCACCUGUCCUUUCUUGGAGUGGUGUCCUUUUCUCCCUCCUCCUGCAAAUGAAGCACCCGAGGCUUUGUGUCCACAUUGACCUACCUCAGAGCUGUCCUCUGAGGCCCUCUUUAUAGGAAUAUCCAGACUGCCUAAUCCCCUUGGCCAGGUUCCAGAACAUUCUGUUCACUUGACAGGUCAUACCCAGUGAGGACAAGUAGAAGAGAGUCAGUGUAGGAGGUGCAGGAAGAGAGGAGAAGAGCAGAGUGUUGUCAUGGGGAGUGGGACAUGCCUGAUAGCUGGGUUCAGAGUGCAGCAACGCCUGGGGUGCUCUGCCCUGCAGAGUGUACCCCGAAGGAUGGUUUUGGCAGGGCAAGGGGCUGAACCAGAGCUCAGGGCCAAGAGAAGAGAAGGGGGGAAGGCUUGGUGGCCAGAUGCUUUCUCUUCCUCUCACUUUUGCUGGGUCACGUGGUAAUGACAGGGAAGCCAGACAAUGACUUCCAGCCACACCGCUCCCCAUACCCCAACUGGAGGCCACUCUAUUUUUAAAUUUCUCUUGGGAAGUAGAUUUCCAAAAUUUCCCUAAGUCUUCCCGUCAGGGGAGCCUCUGAUUUCCAGUAAAUCCAGGGUCACAUAGUUUCUAUGUUCAUUUGCAUUCAGUUUGCAUAAAUUAGCAUGCCACCAAAAGCAGCCUAGGGAAUUAAUGCAAACGGGUUCCAGCUUUUGUGCCUCAGGAGAUGGCAGAGGAAGGGCAGUCCUGGCUUGUAGGCAGGAGGUCCUGUCAUCCCCUUGGCCUGCAGAUUGUCACCUUGGGCCACUGAGAGCUCUAUCAGUGUUUCUCCUCUGUUUGCUGGACCUUGAAGUGUCAUCCUCCUGUGUUGGAGCCCAUGAGAGGGGAUUCAGGUCACACGGGUCCUCCACAGAUGCCCUUUCUCCCUCUGUCCUGGGGAACACAGAGGGCCUUGGGGACCCUCGUUGGCCUAUGGUGACUUCCCUGCAGCACCACUGUCCCACUCUCAGCUUAUCAUCAACUUGCAGAGCUGCUCUCUGGCUGAAAGCACUGAGCUGGUAGACGGCGAAAAGUUCUGAGAAACUUCGUAGCAGGCUCUUCUCUAGAUCAUUGCUCUUUAGAUUCCAGAGCAGUGUGCCAGCCCAGCUUCUUCUCCAGCCCUUGCUCUGUCCUCAAGAUCCAGCUGCUGAUGCGUCGGGAUGUCUGGUGGCCCAGCCUGGGAUCCCUACUCGCGGCCCCAGACCCUUCUCACUCGGUGGGAACAGAGGAAACGGACUUUAACGUAACAAAACUGCUUGGGCCUGGCCUUAAGAAUUGUGUCGUCUUGUCCUGCAUCACCUCUGAUGUAUCCUUAGCCUGACUUUAGUCAUCAUCAGCUGAAUCACAGACCAACCCUGGACGUCCAGAAAAUUUCAGAACUAGCUGCGAGCUAAUGCUCGAAUUCAGGGACUUCUCAGACUUCAGGUAUCAGAAAGGAGCUGCUUGUGUCUGGGGUGCAGGGAGGUGGUUGGAGGGGUGCUGGUUCCAUGGAUCCCAACUUGCUGUAUCCAUGCUGUUCCAGUGCCGUGCCCCC
rnacentral:lncRNA from 1 species